AAAUUGAAGAGUUUGAUCAUGGCUCAGAUUGAACGCUGGCGGCAGGCCUAACACAUGCAAGUCGAACGGUAGCACAGAGAGCUUGCUCUCGGGUGACGAGUGGCGGACGGGUGAGUAAUGUCUGGGAAACUGCCUGAUGGAGGGGGAUAACUACUGGAAACGGUGGCUAAUACCGCAUAACGUCGCAAGACCAAAGAGGGGGACCUUCGGGCCUCUUGCCAUCAGAUGUGCCCAGAUGGGAUUAGCUUGUUGGUGAGGUAACGGCUCACCAAGGCGACGAUCCCUAGCUGGUCUGAGAGGAUGACCAGCCACACUGGAACUGAGACACGGUCCAGACUCCUACGGGAGGCAGCAGUGGGGAAUAUUGCACAAUGGGCGCAAGCCUGAUGCAGCCAUGCCGCGUGUAUGAAGAAGGCCUUCGGGUUGUAAAGUACUUUCAGCGGGGAGGAAGGUGUUGUGGUUAAUAACCGCAGCAAUUGACGUUACCCGCAGAAGAAGCACCGGCUAACUCCGUGCCAGCAGCCGCGGUAAUACGGAGGGUGCAAGCGUUAAUCGGAAUUACUGGGCGUAAAGCGCACGCAGGCGGUCUGUCAAGUCGGAUGUGAAAUCCCCGGGCUCAACCUGGGAACUGCAUUCGAAACUGGCAGGCUUGAGUCUUGUAGAGGGGGGUAGAAUUCCAGGUGUAGCGGUGAAAUGCGUAGAGAUCUGG
rnacentral:rRNA from 1 species